rnacentral:rRNA from 1 species
GACGAACGCUGGCGGCGUGCUUAACACAUGCAAGUCGAGCGGUAAGGCCCUUCGGGGUACACGAGCGGCGAACGGGUGAGUCACACGUGAGUAAUCUGCCCAUCACUUCGGGAUAACUCCGGGAAACCGGUGCUAAUACCGAAUAUGACCACUUCAGGCAUCUGAUGGUGGUGGAAAGUUCCGGCGGUGAUGGAUGAGCUCGCGGCCUAUCAGCUUGUUGGUGGGGUAGUGGCCUACCAAGGCUUCGACGGGUAGCCGGCCUGAGAGGGUGACCGGCCACACUGGGACUGAGACACGGCCCAGACUCCUACGGGAGGCAGCAGUGGGGAAUAUUGGACAAUGGGCGAAAGCCUGAUCCAGCAACGCCGCGUGAGGGAUGACGGCCUUCGGGUUGUAAACCUCUUUCAGCAGGGACGAAGCGCAAGUGACGGUACCUGCAGAAGAAGCACCGGCCAACUACGUG